UGUAUAUAUAGCAACAUAGUAUUAUCUUGCCUAUUUAUAGCUUGCAGCAUUACUAAGUGCAUUUGAGAUAUUCUGGAGACUAACUUUGAGCUUUUCUAAUGUAGCAGAACUUCAGCUGUGUUUUUGGUGGCUACUCAGACACUGCUUCAAAACAGCAGAACUUCAACUGUGUUUUUAGUGGCUACUCAGACAUUGUGCUUUAAAACAGCAGAACUUCAGCUGUGUUUU